GCUUGUAGAAGUGCCAUCGAGUU
rnacentral:siRNA from 1 species